rnacentral:piRNA from 1 species
UAACUCAGCAGACCUAGGGAUGUGUUUCGU